UUGCGCUAGGCUACAUUGUG
rnacentral:misc_RNA from 1 species